rnacentral:rRNA from 1 species
GACGUAGGGCGCGAGCGUUGUCCGGAUUUAUUGGGCGUAAAGAGCUCGUAGGCGGCUUGUCGCGUCAACUGUGAAAACCCCGUGGCUCAACCAUGUGGUCUGCAGUCGAUACGGGCAGGCUAGAAUUCGGUAGGGGAGACUGGAAUUCCUGGUGUAGCGGUGAAAUGCGCAGAUAUCAGGAGGAACACCGGUGGCGAAGGCGGGUCUCUGGGCCGAUAUUGACGCUGAGGAGCGAAAGCGUGGGGAGCGAACAGG